rnacentral:rRNA from 3 species
UACGGAGGAUCCAAGCGUUAUCCGGAUUUAUUGGGUUUAAAGGGUGCGUAGGCGGCUUUUUAAGUCAGGGGUGAAAGACGGUGGCUCAACCAUCGCAGUGCCCUUGAUACUGAAGAGCUUGAAUAAACUAGAGGUAGGCGGAAUGUGACAAGUAGCGGUGAAAUGCAUAGAUAUGUCACAGAACACCAAUUGCGAAGGCAGCUUACUAUGGUUUAAUUGACGCUGAGGCACGAAAGCGUGGGGAUCAAACAGG